GCAAGACGGAAAGACCCCGUGAACCUUUACUAUAGCUUGACACUGAACAUUGAGCCUUGAUGUGUAGGAUAGGUGGGAGGCUUUGAAGCGUGGACGCCAGUCUGCGUGGAGCCAACCUUGAAAUACCACCCUUUAAUGUUUGAUGUUCUAACGUUGGCCCCUUACCGGGGUUGCGGACAGUGUCUGGUGGGUAGUUUGACUGGGGCGGUCUCCUCCCAAAGCGUAACGGAGGAGCACGAAGGUUAGCUAAUCCUGGUCGGACAUCAGGAGGUUAGUGCAAUGGCAUAAGCUAGCUUGACUGCGAGCGUGACGGCGCGAGCAGGUG
rnacentral:rRNA from 1 species